UACGGUGGGUGCAAGCGUUAUCCGGAUUCACUGGGUUUAAAGGGUGCGUAGGCGGCGCGGAAAGUUGGGUGUGAAAUCCCUCGGCUCAACCGAGGAACUGCGCCCAAAACUACCGUGCUCGAGGAAGAUAGAGGUGAGCGGAACUUACGGUGGAGCGGUGAAAUGCGUUGAUAUCGUAAGGAACACCCGUGGCGAAAGCGGCUCACUGGGUCUUUUCUGACGCUGAUGCACGAAAGCUAGGGGAGCAAACGGG
rnacentral:rRNA from 1 species